rnacentral:lncRNA from 1 species
CACAAUGGUUUAAUGAUCUGUGUCUGUUCUGCUGCUGCUAGUUUGUGAGACUGCUGCAGCACAGAGUGCUGAAUACAGGCAGUCAAGCUGGCCUGGCCAGUAGAAAUACACUGUAAGUCAGUGUUUCUCAGAGUGCUGAAUACAGGCAGGCAGCAGAUUCUCUGGCCUGGCCAGGAGAAAUACACUGUAAGUCAGUGUUUCUCAGAGUGCUGAAUACAGGCAGGCAGCAGAUUCUCUGGCCUGGCCAGGAGAGAUACAUUAUGUCAGUGUUUCUCAGCCUGUUCCUCUGGGAGUGGGAGAUCCCUAGUUGUUCCACCACUAGUCAACUAGCCCAAUGCUCAAGCCCUUGACUAGUUGUGUGACGUGAGCUAGCUAGGUCAAAAAUGUGGAGCGGCAGGAUGUUUCCAAGGAACACAGAUGAAAUGGAGAAACCCACUGCUACAUAGACCUAACAGGAAUGUGGUGGUCGCCCCAGCAGUGCUGUCCCAUCCAGUCACGUAGACCUGAGUUGAGGAGAAACACCCUGAAAGUGAUCUGUAAGGCAAGCCUUCCUGGCCUGCUGGGGCCUCAGUCAGUGGAAUGGCAGAAGUGUGCUUUACUGCCUUCCUUGGAGAUGACCUGAGGUCAGGUCUAACUGUAGCGGAUGAACAGAGGUCAGGUCCAACUGUAGCGGAUGAACAGAGGUCAGGUCUAACUGUAGCGGAUGAACAGAGGUCAGGUCUAACUGGAGCGGAUGAACAGAGGUCAGGUCCAACUGUAGCGGAUGAACAGAGGUCAGGUCCAACUGUAGCGGAUGAAC